AUAUCUUAAUAUCGGCAUCUCGCAAUAUCAGUGGUUUGCGUCUGUGUGUCCGUUGAUUCAAAUAUUUCCGAUCGAAAACCGUUUCCUCGUAUAUUUCGCGUUAUUUUCUCUCGAAUCGAAAAUGCAACUGAUGCACGUUCAUCACAACAGAUAUUCCAUCACCACGCAGUAGGGUUCCUCGCGGUAACAGGCGCCCAGAACUCGAGCGAUAUUGCGAUCUUCCAGAGCAGCUAGGAUUCUCACAUCUCUUUGGAAGUCCAACCUGUUCCGGAACAAGCCAGUUUCCAUCUCGAUACAUAUGUGUUCUACUUUGCCGUUCACAUCGUAUGGUGUGUUUUCGAGGUGUUGCCGCAACACAAUGACGUGGUUUCACGUUGCUCUUUCCCACAAGCUUUUAUCGGGCUGCGACGGAGCGAAGAAGAUCCAUCGACAUGGUUUGUCUCGUUCGACGAGCGGCGAACGUCGACGCGCGGGGAUCCGUAAAAUGGAGGGAGAAAGGGCGCUUCGUAUGUUUAAUAACAUUAACGUUGCUGUUGCAUCGAAGUACCUGUCGGCCCGGCCACACACUACGCUCGUCGAGGAAAAGUACGUGAACGGGACCUCUUAGCUGCCUUAGAGUGCUACGAACAGACAUCGACGAAAGAGAGUCGGUGGUUAAUUAUCGCUUUGACGGCGGCGGUUACCAUCAUGACCAGAAGUGGGGAUGAUUUUUCACGCUGGAGCGAAUCUGCCAUAAACACUCCGGGUAGUUCGAAGACCGGUGGAAGUGUCCGAUACUGUUUGGCUAAAGCACGACGGGGCGCCAACUGGGUGAAAAGCGGUGCGUAUAUAUAAGACGGCGAGGGGAAGAGAGAGAGAGAAAGAGGCGGGUCUCGUUAACCGCUGACAGGAAGGCGCGUAUAGCUCAUCGAGUCGAAUGGCCUUCCGGUGCUGUGAAAACCACCAGCGAAACACGUUCUGAAUAAGGUCGUGGAUGUUUGGGCGUUCGCCGUUUGAGCGGCAAAAUGGAUGAAAGAUCGACCGACGAUUCGGCACUGAGGUGCCGAGUGGCACGAUCAUUUGACAUUUUUCAACGAUUAAAAGAAAUCAUAAAUUGAAAAUUAAUAAAGAUAUUUGAUACUAUUGAAAAAUGAAAAUAUGUGAUAAAUUUAAAUUUCUCAGAUUUGAAUAUUUUUUAUCAUAAAUAUUUUAUCUUUACGUAAAAAUUAUGAUCUUUAUAUUUAGUAAAAUAAUAUUAUCGGAAUAAGAAUGUAAAAAUGUAUUCUUUGAUAUUC